rnacentral:rRNA from 1 species
AGGAAUAUUGGUCAAUGGGCGGGAGCCUGAACCAGCCAAGUCGCGUGAGGGAAGACGGUCCUAUGGAUUGUAAACCUCUUUAGGCGGGGAGCAAUGCCGGGCACGCGUGCCCGGAGGGAGAGUACCCGCAGAAUAAGCAUCGGCUAACUCCGUGCCAGCAGCCGCGGUAAUACGGAGGAUGCGAGCGUUAUCCGGAUUCAUUGGGUUUAAAGGGUGCGCAGGCGGGCCUUUAAGCCGGCGGUGAAAUCGCGGGGCUCAACCCCGCCGAGCCGUCGGAACUGGGGGCCUUGAGUGCGGCGGAGGCAUGCGGAAUGCGCGGUGUAGCGGUGAAAUGCAUAGAUAUCGCGCAGAACCCCGAUUGCGAAGGCAGCGUGCCGUGCCGCCACUGACGCUGAGGCACGAAAGCGCGGGGAUCGAACAGG